rfam:Schistosoma rodhaini strain Burundi genome assembly, scaffold: SROB_scaffold0001788
GUACUCGCUUCGGAGGUACAUAUACUAAAAUUGGAACAACGCAGAGAAGAUUAGCAUGGCCUCUGCGCAAGGAUACUUCAUUCAACUGAAACAUGAACAUUGAGAUA